GACAGCAGUAGCCGCGGGAAUACGAAGGGUUCAAGCGUUAAUCGGAAUUACUGGGCGUAAAGCGCGCGUAGGUGGUUCAUUAAGUUGGAUGUGAAAGCCCUGGGCUCAACCUGGGAACUGCAUCCAAAACUGGUGAGCUAGAGUACGGUAGAGGGUAGUGGAAUUUCCUGUGUAGCGGUGAAAUGCGUAGAUAUAGGAAGGAACACCAGUGGCGAAGGCGACUACCUGGACUGAUACUGACACUGAGGUGCGAAAGCGUGGGGAGCAAACAGGAUUAGAUACCCCCGUAGUCCCUGUCUCUUAUAC
rnacentral:rRNA from 1 species